GAUGAACGCUGGCGGCGUGCCUAAUACAUGCAAGUCGAGCGAACAGACGAGGAGCUUGCUCCUCUGACGUUAGCGGCGGACGGGUGAGUAACACGUGGAUAACCCACCUAUAAGACUGGGAUAACUUCGGGAAACCGGAGCUAAUACCGGAUAAUAUAUUGAACCGCAUGGUUCAAUAGUGAUAUACGGUUUUGCUGUCACUUAUAGAUGGAUCCGCGCCGCAUUAGCUAGUUGGUAGGGUAACGGCUUACCAAGGCACCGAUGCGUAGCCGACCUGAGAGGGUGAUCGGCCACACUGGAACUGAGACACGGUCCAGACUCCUACGGGAGGCAGCAGUAGGGAAUCUUCCGCACUGGGGGAAAGCUUGACGGAGCAACGCGGCGUGAGUGAUGAAGGUCUUCGGAUCGUAAAACUCUGUUAUUGGGGAAGAACAAAUGUGUAAGUAACGAUGCACGUCUUGACGGUACCUGAUCAGAAAGCCACGGCUAACUACGUG
rnacentral:rRNA from 1 species